CAUGGAGUUUCAAACUCUUGAA
rnacentral:miRNA from 1 species